rnacentral:rRNA from 1 species
GACGAACGCUGGCGGCGUGCUUAACACAUGCAAGUCGAACGGACAGACAGAGAGCUUGCUCUCUUGAAGUUAGUGGCGAACGGGUGAGUAACGCGUAAUCAACCUGCCCUUCAGAGGGGGAUAACAACGGGAAACCGUUGCUAAUACCGCGUACGAUUCAUGAACGGCAUCGUUUAUGAAUGAAAGGUGGCCUCUAUGUAUAAGCUAUCGCUGAAGGAGGGGAUUUGGUCUGAUUAGCUAGUUGGAGGGGUAACGGCCCACCAAGGCAAUGAUCAGGAGCCGGUCUGAGAGGAUGAACGGCCACAUUGGGACUGAGACACGGCCCAAACUCCUACGGGAGGCAGCAGUGGGGAAUCUUCCGCAAUGGACGAAAGUCUGACGGAGCAACGCCGCGUGAGUGAUGAAGGUCUUCGGAUUGUAAAGCUCUGUUAAUCGGGACGAAAGAGUUCUGCGUGAAUAAUGCAGAAAAGUGACGGUACCGGAAUAGAAAGCCACGGCUAACUACGUGCCAGCCGCCGCCGUAA